GACGAACGCUGGCGGCGUGCCUAAUACAUGCAAGUAGAACGCUGAGGAGAGGAGCUUGCUCUUCUUGGAUGAGUUGCGAACGGGUGAGUAACGCGUAGGUAACCUGCCUUGUAGCGGGGGAUAACUAUUGGAAACGAUAGCUAAUACCGCAUAACAAUGGAUGACACAUGUCAUUUAUUUGAAAGGGGCAAUUGCUCCACUACAAGAUGGACCUGCGUUGUAUUAGCUAGUAGGUGAGGUAAUGGCUCACCUAGGCGACGAUACAUAGCCGACCUGAGAGGGUGAUCGGCCAAACUGGGACUGAGACACGGCCCAGACUCCUACGGGAGGCAGCAGUAGGGAAUCUUCGGCAAUGGGGGCAACCCUGACCGAGCAACGCCGCGUGAGUGAAGAAGGUUUUCGGAUCGUAAAGCUCUGUUGUAAGUCAAGAACGGGUGUGAGAGUGGAAAGUUCACACUGUGACGGUAGCUUACCAGAAAGGGACGGCUAACUACGUG
rnacentral:rRNA from 1 species